AUUGAACGCUGGCGGCAGGCCUAACACAUGCAAGUCGAACGAGUGGCGGACGGGUGAGUAAUGUCUGGGAAACUGCCUGAUGGAGGGGGAUAACUACUGGAAACGGUAGCUAAUACCGCAUACCAUCAGAUGUGCCCAGAUGGGUUUAGCUGGUUGGUGGGGUAACGGCUCCCCAAGGCGACGAUCCCUAGCGGUUCUGAGAGGAGGACCGGCAACACGGGAACGGGAACACGGUCCGGAUUCCUACGGAGGGCGGCAGUGGGGAAUAUUGCACAAGGGGCGCAAGCCUGAUGCAGCCCUGCCGCGUGUAUGAAGAAGGCCUUCGGGUUGUAAAGUACUCUCAGCGGGGAGGCGUUACCCACAGAAGAAGCACCGGCUAACUCCGUGCCAGCAGCCGCGGUAAUAC
rnacentral:rRNA from 1 species